rnacentral:rRNA from 1 species
CUCAGAGUCCACACCAUUCUGAUGGCCCCUGACAUCCUCUGUUCUUGGAAGCUGAGCAGAUUUGGGACUGGUUAGUACUUGGACGGGGAGAAAUGGCUCUCGGAGU